rnacentral:rRNA from 1 species
UACAGAGACCUCAAGCAUUAUCCGGAUUUAUUGGGCGUAAAGGGUCCGCAGGUGGCCUGGCACGUCAUCGGUUAAACCUCUGGGCUCAACCCAGGGACUGCCGGUGAUACGACCAGGCUCGAGGGUGGGAAAGGUCAGCGGAAUUCACGGUGUAGUAGUAAAAUGCGUUAAUAUCGUGAAGAACACCAAAUGCGAAGGCAGCUGACUGGAACACUCCUGACACUCAGGGACGAAAGCGUGGGUAG